rnacentral:rRNA from 1 species
AUAAACGCUGGCGGCGCACAUAAGACAUGCAAGUCGAACGAACUUAAUCGUUAGUUUACUAAUGAAGCGGUUAGUGCGGACUGGUGAGUAACACGUAAGCAACCUGCCUAUUAGAGGGGAACAACAGUUAGAAAUGACUGCUAAUACCGCAUAUGCCAUAAGUAUCGCAUGAUACAAGUGGGAAAGGAGUAAUCCGCUAAUAGAUGGGCUUGCGUCUGAUUAGAUAGUUGGUGGGGUAAUGGCCUACCAAGUCGACGAUCAGUAGCCGAGUUGAGAGACUCUACGGCCACAUUGGGACUGUGAUACAGCCCAGACUCCUACGGGAGGCAGCAGUCGGGAAUAUUGCGCAAUGGAGGAAACUCUGACGCAGUGACGCCGCGUGCAGGAAGAAGGUUUUCGGAUUGUAAACUGCUUUAGACAGGGAAGAAAAAGACAGUACCUGUAGAAUAAGCUCCGGCUAACUACGUGCCAGCAGCCGCGGUAAUACGUAGGGAGCAAGCGUUAUCCGGAUUUAUUGGGUGUAAAGGGUGCGUAGACGGGAAAAUAAGUUAGUUGUGAAAUCCCCAUGCUUAACAUGGGAACUGCAACUAAAACUGUUUUUCUUGAGUGCUGGAGAGGAAAGUGGAAUUCCUAGUGUAGCGGUGAAAUGCGUAGAUAUUAGGAGGAACACCAGUGGCGAAGGCGACUUUCUGGACAGUAACUGACGUUGAGGCACGAAAGUGUGGGGAGCAAACAGGAUUAGAUACCCUGGUAGUCCGCACCGUAAACGAUGGAUACUAGGUGUAGGGUGUGAUAAACGCUCUGUGCCGUCGCAAACGCAGUAAGUAUCCCACCUGGGGAGUACGGCCGCAAGGUUGCAACUCAAAGGAAUUGACGG